rnacentral:rRNA from 1 species
CAUGGAGUUUGAUCCUGGCUCAGGAUGAACGCUAGCGGCAGGCUUAACACAUGCAAGUCGAGGGGUAUAGUUCUUCGGAGCUAGAGACCGGCGCACGGGUGCGUAACGCGUAUGCAAUCUACCUUUUACAGAGGGAUAGCCCAGAGAAAUUUGGAUUAAUACCUCAUAGUAUGUGAGAAUCGCAUGGUUUUCACAUUAAAGUCACAACGGUAAAAGAUGAGCAUGCGUCCCAUUAGCUAGAUGGUAAGGUAACGGCUUACCAUGGCAACGAUGGGUAGGGGUCCUGAGAGGGAGAUCCCCCACACUGGGUACUGAGACACGGACCAGACUCCUA